rnacentral:rRNA from 1 species
UCCCUAUCUGCCGUGGGCGUUUGAGAAUUGAAGAGGGCUGCUCCUAGUACGAGAGGACCGGAGUGGACGAACCUCUGGUGUUCGGGUUGUCAUGCCAAUGGCAUUGCCCGGUAGCUACGUUCGGAACUGAUAACCGCUGAAAGCAUCUAAGCGGGAAACAGGCUUUGAGAUGAGUUCUCACUGGACCUUUAAGGUCCCUGAAGGGUCGUUGGAGACUACGACGUUGAUAGGCGGGAUGUGGAAGCACUGUGAGGUGUUGAGCUAACCCGUACUAAUUGCCCGUGAGGCUUAACCAU